rnacentral:rRNA from 1 species
GACGUAGGGCGCGAGCGUUGUCCGGAUUUAUUGGGCGUAAAGAGCUCGUAGGCGGCUCGUUGCGUCGGCUGUGAAAACCCGCAGCUCAACUGUGGGCUUGCAGCUGAUACGGGCGGGCUGGGAUUCGGUAGGGGAGACUGGAAUUCCUGGUGUAGCGGUGGAAAUGCGCAGAUAUCAGGAGGAACACCGGUGGCGAAGGCGGGUCUCUGGGCCGAUAUCGACGCUGGAGGAGCGAAAGCGUGGGGAGCGAACAGG